GAUGAACGCUGGCGGCGUGCCUAAUACAUGCAAGUCGAGCGAACGGACGAGAAGCUUGCUUCUCUGAUGUUAGCGGCGGACGGGUGAGUAGCACGUGGAUAACCUACCUAUAAGACUGGGAUAACUUCGGGAAACCGGAGCUAAUACCGGAUAAUAUUUUGAACCGCAUGGUUCAAAAGUGAAAGACGGUCUUGCUGUCACUUAUAGAUGGAUCCGCGCUGCAUUAGCUAGUUGGUAAGGUAACGGCUUACCAAGGCAACGAUGCAUAGCCGACCUGAGAGGGUCAUCGGCCACACUGGAACUUAGACACGGUCCAGACUCCUACGGGAGGCAGCAGUAGGGAAUCUUCCGCAAUGGGCGAAAGCCUGACGGAGCAACGCCGCGUGAGUGAUGAAGGUCUUCGGAUCGUAAAACUCUGUUAUUAGGGAAGAACAUAUGUGUAAGUAACUGUGCACAUCUUGACGGUACCUAAUCAGAAAGCCACGGCUAACUACGUG
rnacentral:rRNA from 1 species